rnacentral:misc_RNA from 1 species
AAGUCGUAACAAGGUUUCCGUAGGUGAACCUGCGGAAGGAUCAUUCAAGUAAAUGAUUAAAACUACACUUGUCAACCGGAGAAGAAACAAAUUGGGUUUAAAGAAUUUUAGAGAGAGUGGGGUUAAGGGAUGGGGGGAUGAGUAUUUUUGAAAAGAGUCCUUUUUAAAAGUAACCUGACGCUUGCUUUUUAAACCCAUUAACUUUAUAAAUCUUUAAACCCAACUAUUGACCAUGAAAUAUUGUAAAGAUUUGCUCGGUUAAAUAUUUAAAAAUUUAAUACAACCUUUAACAAUGGAUCUCUUGGUUCCU